UCGGGAGAGAGCUGCCGCCGCCGCCAGUCAUCCUCCUCGCCUCUCCUCCUCCCCAUAGGCCCCCAUCAAGCUCGCGCUCACUGCUCUGGGUCGCGCGCCGCCGCGCCCCCGGUCAACUCUGCACGGGCCGCCUCCCUCCUCCUCCUCCCCAUCGGGAUCGGGCAGGAGGAGCGCAGGCUCGGCGCCGGCCCUCGCGAGUGAGGUAGGACGCGCGCAGGAGGGAGCGGCGGAGCAAGGUGGGGCCGGUGGUCUCUGUCAAUCUGCUGUUGUGGUUGCUAUUGUGGUCAUCGAUUUGCAGACUCGUCUGCUGUUGCCGGUGCCCUGACUUGCUCUGCUUUUAGACUAAUACGUCUAUAGAUUUAGAUACUUGAUGUUAUAUAUUGCUAAUUUGCAGGUAUAACUCAAACUUGAUAAUCUAUAGAUUUAGAUACUUGAUGUUAUAUAUUUUUCUCUGGUCUCCUGAAUGUUGGUGCUGAUUAAUACGUAGUAUUAAAUGUAUGCAUCUUUCUCAUUCUGAAAAUUUCCCUGCUUUCCUGACCAUCAAAUGUCUAUUGACCAUUGUUACUCUUGCCUGGAGUAGUCUGUUACACUUAUCAGGCCUAGGCAGGGCAUUCACACUACCGAAAAGUUUGGUUUCAGUAAGACUUAAUCUGGUAACCUAUUUUGUCCUUCUCUUCGCGGUUUGGGAGAGAUACCGCAGAGAAGACCACCAGAGAAAUGGUCGUCCCGGACCCAGACUAUCAUCGCUAUACUUGGGAUAUAUGGUGUGUCUGCAUAUGCAUAAAAUGUUCUUGUCGCUGCACCUGUAGACCUACUGGGGCUGCUUCUCUUGUUUCAGGAUUGCAAAAAGGUGUCGGCUUGAGAUUGACCACAUCUGUUGUAUCUACCUGGAGGCCGGCUCUCUCAGUUCACUCAAGAGCAUCUUUGUUCCGCUGUAGAUGAAAAUGUAAGAUGCCAGAGCCACGACGUGAGUGCGUCUGCUUCCCCUUAGGAGGAAGUUGAAGGUGUUACCAUUCAUGGACAUGGAACAGAAGCUGCCCAGAUAUCUGCAGGUCAACCCUUUUUCUCCUCUUCGUUUCCAGGGCUAGGUCCACUGUUGAAUGGUGAUAUGAUUGAAGAUAUGACAUAAAGAAAGCUGAACCACUACACGUGGGGAAAUAGAAGAUGAUCCUGUAUGUUUGGCUAGCCUGAGUGACACGAUAAGUUCCUGAGAGCCUUGUGUCAGAACAUAGUAAGGUUGCAAAGAAAUGCAAGACAAACACCAUGAAAAUCUGAUAGAGAGCACUAGAGUUCCAACAACAAAGGAAACAACUGACUCACUAUAUAUUUGCUUCAUCAGUACAGAAUCUGUACAACGCAAAUGGUCACCUGCGCACGAUGUGUCCAUUUGAUUCAAAUUUUGAAACAUGAGAGCUGGAAAAGCAGAGGCUGGAUUACAAAAACGGCAGCAGACUGGAUGCUGAAGUUCAUCUAUCCUCCAUUGAUCCUUUGAUGUGUACACAUAUAGAAGCGCUGAAGACUGUUCGGUGACUGAUGUGAAGCAAAGUUCAAUGGCUCCUUCAGUGCUAUAUAGAGUUGGAUCAGCCAUUCCGCAGUCGAUGCAAUGUUCGAAGCACUAAGCAGAGGAACGCUAUUGCUGCUUUCGAAAUGCUAUUGGAUCUUAUAAAGAUUUUUGGACCUGUUAUUCAUUCAACAUUGUCAGCUAGCUCACCCAUUGGAGUAGAACUUCAAGCCGAACAGAGGUGCCAUGUUGUGGAUAACAAGGAGAUUAUCAAGGUGGAGCGGCGGUGAGUAUGGAGCCCAUAAUCAUCAGUUCAUCACCAUGAAGCAGAAGAAAUGGUAUAGCUUUGCCAUGCUGGACUUUGGGAGCCGCUGCUCCUCGGCAACAGGAGGUACAGCCGCUGCCACCACUCCUUCACAGCGACGCAGGCCAGCGACGAGGAGGCUCGCAAUGGUGGGGGACCCAUAACCAUCCGCCAGAGAGGAGAAAGGCAUACCCACCCCUUUUAAUGAUUGAAAUGCAGGUCCAGGGAAAACAUCUGCACUACUGUUGGGCCAAUUGAUGCUAGGUGUACAUUGAGAUGUUUCAGAAAUAGAUCCUUGAUGCCGAACAUAGUGCAAUGGUCCUCACAUCACAACACCCGAGCAAGGCUGGCAAGGCUUGCUCGCCAUGGCCUACCACAUCGGCGAGACGGGGCGAGCAUGUGAUCACCAUCAGCAGUUCCUUCGUCACAACACCUGAGCGAGCGAGAUGUUCAGACAAAGUUAUAUGUUACACUGCUAUUGACAUAUGUCAUAGAUGGACAGUACAUAUCGUUUCUCUCCAUGUUAUAAUUUCUGUGACCUCGGCAUUUGAAAGACAUGUCAUCCGAAUUGUCUAUCAUAACUGAACCAUUACUAUCACAAGCAUCUUACUUUUAGAAUUCAUAUGAUGGUUCAGUUAUCUAUAUUAUGUGUGCCAUUUGUUACCUCUGAAAUAUAUAUUAUGUGUGCCCUGUCAUGUUGGUUUAUUUUUGGUGCCAAAAUGCUGCUGAGCAUUUGGUGUGACUGAUUGCACUGCCCAUUUAGUGUUGUUUGGGCAUAUGCCAUGUAUUGGACACAACCAUGUUAUCUAUAAAGGCAAUUUUCUGCUUA